CCUACGGGUGGCAGCAGUGAGGAAUAUUGGUCAAUGGGCGCGAGCCUGAACCAGCCAAGUAGCGUGAAGGAUGACUGCCCUACGGGUUGUAAACUUCUUUUAUAAAGGAAUAAAGUGAGGCACGUGUGCCUUUUUGUAUGUACUUUAUGAAUAAGGAUCGGCUAACCCGGUGCCGGCGGCGCCGGUAAAACGGAGGAUCCGAGCGUUAUCGGGAUUUUUAGGGUUUAAAGGGAGCGUAGAUGGGUUGUUAAGUCAGUUGUGAAAUUUUGCGGCUCAACCGUAAAAUUGCAAUUGAUACUGGCAGCCUUGAGUACAGUUGAGGUAGGCGGAAUUCGUGGUGUAGCGGUGAAAUGCUUAGAUAUCACGAAGAACUCCGAUUGCGAAGGCAGCCUACUAAACUGCCACUGACAUUGAUGCUCGAAAGUGUGGGUAUCAAACAGGAUUAGAUACCCUUGUAGUC
rnacentral:rRNA from 1 species